AUACGGAGGACGCGAGCGUUAUCCGGAUUCAUUGGGUUUAAAGGGUGCGCAGGCGGCCGUGCAAGUCAGCGGUGAAAGCCCGGGGCUCAACCCCGGAAGUGCCGUUGAUACUGCAUGGCUGGAAUGCGGUCGAGGCGGGCGGAACGGGGCGUGUAGCGGGGAAAUGCGUAGAUAUGGCACGGCACGCCGAUAGCGGAGGCCGCUCGCCGGGCCGGCAUGGACGCUCGGGCACGAAAGCGUGGGGAUCGAACAGGAUUAGAUACCCUGGUAGUCCACGCCGUAAACGAUGGGCGCUCGUCGUCGGCGGCAGACAGUCGGCGGCCAAGCGAAAGCGAUAAGCGCCCCACCUGGGGAGUACGGUCGCAAGGCUGAAACUCAAAGGAAUUGGCGGGG
rnacentral:rRNA from 1 species